rnacentral:rRNA from 1 species
AUUGAACGCUGGCGGCAUGCCUUACACAUGCAAGUCGAACGGCAGCACGGGGGCAACCUGGUGGCGAGUGGCGAACGGGUGAGUAACGCAUCGGAAUGUACCCAGUAGUGGGGGAUAACUAGUCGAAAGAUUAGCUAAUACCGCAUACGCACUGAGGUGGAAAGCGGGGGAUCGCAAGACCUCGCGCUAUUGGAGCAGCCGAUGUCCGAUUAGGUAGUUGGUGGGGUAAAGGCCUACCAAGCCUGCGAUCGGUAACUGGUCUGAGAGGACGACCAGUCACACUGGGACUGAGACACGGCCCAGACUCCUACGGGAGGCAGCAGUGGGGAAUUUUGGACAAUGGGCGCAAGCCUGAUCCAGCAAUGCCGCGUGUGUGAAGAAGGCCUUCGGGUUGUAAAGCACUUUUGGCGGGAGCGAAACGGCGUUUGCUAAUACCAGACGCUAAUGACGGUACCCGCAGAAUAAGCACCGGCUAACUACGUG